rnacentral:rRNA from 1 species
UACGUAGGGAGCAAGCGUUGUCCGGAUUUAUUGGGCGUAAAGAGCUCGUAGGCGGCUUAGCAAGUCGGGUGUGAAAACUCCAGGCUCAACCUGGAGACGCCACUCGAUACUGCUAUGGCUUGAGUUCGGUAGGGGACCAUGGAAUUCCUGGUGUAGCGGUGAAAUGCGCAGAUAUCAGGAGGAACACCGGUGGCGAAGGCGGGUCUCUGGGCCGAUAUUGACGCUGAGGAGCGAAAGCGUGGGGAGCGAACAGG